rnacentral:rRNA from 1 species
AGUGAACGCUGGCGGUAGGCCUAACACAUGCCAGUCGAACGGCAGCACAGUAAGAGCUUGCUCUUACGGGUGGCGAGUGGCGGACGGGUGAGGAAUACAUCGGAAUCUACUUUUUCGUGGGGGAUAACGUAGGGAAACUUACGCUAAUACCGCAUACGACCUACGGGUGAAAGCAGGGGAUCUUCGGACCUUGCGCGAUUGAAUGAGCCGAUGUCGGAUUAGCUAGUUGGCGGGGUAAAGGCCCACCAAGGCGACGAUCCGUAGCUGGUCUGAGAGGAUGAUCAGCCACACUGGAACUGAGACACGGUCCAGACUCCGACGGGAGGCAGCAGUGGGGAAUAUUGGACAAUGGGCGCAAGCCUGAUCCAGCCAUACCGCGUGGGUGAAGAAGGCCUUCGGGUUGUAAAGCCCUUUUGUUGGGAAAGAAAAGCAGCAGGUUAAUACCCCGCUGUUCUGACGGGACCCAAAGAAUAAGCACCGGCUAACUGCGU